UGUGCCAGCCGCCGCGGUAAGACGGAGGAUGCAAGCGUUAUCGGGAAUGAUUGGGCGUAAAGCGUCCGCAGGUGGCAGUUCAAGUCUGCUGUCAAAGACCGGGGCUUAACCUCGGAAAGGCAGUGGAAACUGAACAGCUAGAGUAUGGCAGGGGCAAAGGGAAUUCCUGGUGUAGCGGUGAAAUGCGUAGAGAUCAGGAAGAACAUCGGUGGCGAAGGCGCUUUGCUGGACCAUAACUGACACUCAGGGACGAAAGCUAGGGGAGCGAAUGGGAUUAGAUACCCCAGUAGUCCUAGCCGUAAACGAUGGAUACUAGGUGUUGUCUGUAUCGACCCGGACAGUGCCGUAGCUAACGCGUUAAGUAUCCCGCCUGGGGAGUACGCACGCAAGUGUGAAACUCAAAGGAAUUGACGGGGGCCCGCACAAGCGGUGGAGUAUGUGGUUUAAUUCGAUGCAACGCGAAGAACCUUACCAGGACUUGACAUGUCGCGAAUCUUUUGGAAACAGAAGAGUGCCUUCGGGAGCGCGAGCACAGGUGGUGCAUGGCUGUCGUCAGCUCGUGUCGUGAGAUGUUGGGUUAAGUCCCGCAACGAGCGCAACCCUCGUGUUUAGUUGCCAUCAUUAAGUUGGGCACUCUAAACAGACUGCCGGUGACAAACCGGAGGAAGGUGGGGAUGACGUCAAGUCAGCAUGCCCCUUACGUCCUGGGCUACACACGUACUACAAUGGCAGGGACAGAGGGCAGCCAACCCGCGAGGGCGAGCUAAUCCCGUAAACCCUGCCUCAGUUCCGAUCGCAGGCUGCAACUCGCCUGCGUGAAGGCGGAAUCGCUAGUAAUCGCCGGUCAGCAUACGGCGGUGAAUCCGUUCCCGGGCCUUGUACACACCGCCCGUCACACCAUGGGAGCUGGCAGUGCCCGAAGUCGUUACUCCAACCGUAAGGAGGAGGACGCCGAAGGCAGGGCUGGUGACUGGGGUGAAGUCGUAACAAGGUAACC
rnacentral:rRNA from 1 species